rnacentral:lncRNA from 1 species
CCCCUACCCAUCCCAAAAGGUUUAAAUAGCCUUUGUUCCACCUGCCACUCCCCCAAUCCCGAAGGUGGAUCCUGAGAAGCAGAAAUGCCUGUGGAAUGGAGAGCUCUGGCCAGGCAUCAAGUGAGCACAGAUGAGAACAGACUUAGUGGUAUCUCACUGGCCCAUAUGGGGGUGAAUUUACAGGUUCAAAGCACAGAAAGGUGGCUACGGUGGCUGGAAUUUGGUGAGCAAGCAAGAGGCACCUGACAAGCUUCCUGCUGGAUCAAGAGCUGUGGGAGAAGGGGAAAAAAAAAAUCUGCGCAUAUUCUUUAGAUUCUGUUGAAGGCAGCGUGGAAAGUGCCUGGAGGGAAGUCAGUACUACAGCAAGUAAGACCUUGUUUCCUCCAGCUGUUUGUGGUAUAGGCAGUGGGGGUGGGAG